UGGUGAGGUAAAAGCUCACCAAGGCAGCGAUCAGUAGCUGGUCUGAGAGGACGAUCAGCCACACUGGGACUGAGACACGGCCCAGACUCCUACGGGAGGCAGCAGUGGGGAAUUUUCCGCACUGGGCGAAAGCCUGACGGAGCAAGACCGCGUGAGGGAGGAAGGCUCUUGGGUUGUAAACCUCUUUUCUCAGGGAAGAAGCUCUGACGGUACCUGAGGAAUCAGCCUCGGCUAACUCCGUGCCAGCAGCCGCGGUAAUACAGAGGAGGCAAGCGUUAUCCGGAAUUAUUGGGCGUAAAGCGUCCGCAGGUGGCGAUUCAAGUCUGCUGUCAAAGCACGGGGCUUAACUCCGUUAAGGCAGAGGAAACUGAAUAGCUAGAGUGCCGUACGGGUAGAGGGAAUUCCCGGUGUAGCGGUGAAAUGCGUAGAGAUCGGGAAGAACAUCGGUGGCGAAAGCGCUCUACUGGACGGCAACUGACACUCAGGGACGAAAGCUAGGGGAGCGAAUGGGAUUAGAUACCCCAGUAGUCCUAGCUGUAAACGAUGGAUACUAGGUGUAGCUUGUAUCGACCCGA
rnacentral:rRNA from 1 species